CCGUGCUAGACGGGGAGUUAGCGGUGCCCUGUAACCCGAAAUCCGCUCAUGCGGGGUUGAAGAUCCUUCAGGAGAGUCUUGGGCCGGGUUGUCCCUCUGCCGCAUCUGGAGUUGACAUGGACCUCACGUAACAGGUGCCUGCGAACCCCGUCAGGUCCGGGAGGAAGCAGCGGUAAGCAGGAUGGCCUGUGUCGUGACGGUAUCUAUGUUAUCUCUCCUGGCGGCACGGAUGAUACCGACUCAGCCCGAAUAAGGAUGCACGG
rnacentral:SRP_RNA from 1 species